rnacentral:lncRNA from 1 species
GAUAUCUUUCCUGCUAUGUAAAGUAUCUUCUGGUGUCCCACAAGGUUUUAUAAACAUGGCAACUUGAUUUAUUUUUGCAGAUUAUCGGUAUGAUUUGAGUCUAAGCAAUCUCCAAAUGUGGUAGGAUCCAAGGAAGCACAAAUACCCACUGUCUACAGCUUAGUUCUUGGCAUUGCUGGUGUUCUACAGUAUACCACAUGUACUGCAGUGGAGUCCUGGAAACAUGGGAAAUUCUGCAGUGUUUUAUCAUACUGUGCUUAAAUACACACUCUGCUACACACUCUGUCCCUUGGGCUUUCCUGGCCCUUCCUCCUGUCACAGCAAAGGCACUCAGAGCUGUGCCAUCAGCCUUGGCCCUCAGUGUAGCUUUCCUUUUCCCUGCAGCUCUCUUUCCAACUAGGAAGCGGGAAAGGCCAGGCUCACCUGCUUCAGCCAGCUCCCUUUGGUUUGGAUCACACUCCAGAAACCAAUACAAGAAUGAGUUUGCCUGAAAUGUUUGACUUUCACAGGAGAAUUUUGAAAGCACUGGACCAGCACUUCAAAAUGCUGUAUCAUGGGCACUGGAG